rnacentral:tRNA from 1 species
GCUCGGUUAGCUCAGUCUGUAGAGCACCAGACUUUUAAUCUGAGGGUCAGGGGUUCUACUCCCUAAUCGCGCA